UCGAGCGAGAAAGUGUAGCAAUACAUGAGUACAGCGGCGCACGGGUGAGUAACACGUGGAUAACCUGCCUCAAAGUGGGGAAUAACACCGGGAAACCGGUGCUAAUACCGCAUAUUCUGACGAGGUCUGCGGAUUUCGUCAGGAAAGGAGCAAUUCGCUAUGAGAGGGGUCCGCGGCUGAUUAGCUAGUUGGUGAGGUAAUGGCUCACCAAGGCCACGAUCAGUAGCCGGUCUGAGAGGACGGUCGGCCACACUGGAACUGAGACACGGUCCAGACUCCUACGGGAGGCAGCAGUGGGGAAUUUUUCGCAAUGGGGGCAACCCUGACGAAGCAAUGCCGCGUGGAUGAUGAAGUCUCUUGGGACGUAAAAUCCUUUCGACAGGGACGAAACCGCAAGGUUGACGGUACCUGUAGAAGAAGCCCCGGCUAACUCCGUGCCAGCAGCCGCGGUAAUACGGGGGGGGCAAGCGUUG
rnacentral:rRNA from 1 species